AUUGAACGCUGGCGGCAGGCCUAACACAUGCAAGUCGAGCGGAGCGGCGGACGGGUGAGUAAUGCCUAGGAAUCUGCCUGGUAGUGGGGGAUAACGUCCGGAAACGGGCGCUAAUACCGCAUACUAUCAGAUGGGCCUAGGUCGGAUUAGCUAGUUGGUGGGGUAAAGGCCUACCAAGGCGACGAUCCGUAACUGGUCUGAGAGGAUGAUCAGUCACACUGUAACUGAGAAACGGUCCAUCCUCCUAGGCGAGGACGCAGGGGGGAAUAUGGGGAAAUGGGCGAAAGCCGGAUCCAGCCAUGCGGCGGGUGUGAAGAAGGUCUUCGGAUUGUAAAGUAGGUUAAGUUGGGAGGCGUUACCAACAGAAUAAGCACCGGCUAACUUCGUGCCAGCAGCCGCGGUAAUAC
rnacentral:rRNA from 1 species